CUAGACUGGUGGGCCUUGACCCCACAAAAACUUAGUUAACAACUAAACGCCCUAGCCAGCGGACUUCAGCC
rnacentral:tRNA from 1 species